CUCCAACACUGGGUCCGUCCCUGCCUACACACCUCGUCGUCAUAUAAAAAUUGUGAAUAUUCAAUAUGUAAAUUGUGAAUAUUCACUAUAUAAAUUGUGAACUUGUAGACCGAGUCCACGUUACUAGGUGAACCCGGAUCCACAUAAUAAUUUGCCCCUAACCAACCAGACUACAGCCAAGUAACGUGAAGGAGGUUUGUCUCCUUCUCCCUUCUAAAAUUCACGUGAAGGAGCUUUGUCUCUUUCUUCCUUCUAAAAUUCUGCCUACUCUUUGUAUCUAUAAAUAAGAGCAUACCCACCUCUUCUUCAUAUAAACACUUAUUUCUUGAAUAAAUAUAAUCCCUCCUCCCUCUCGUUCUCCAAACCCCGGAUUUCUUCUCAAGCAACACAACCUCCAGAUAUCUUCCGUGUCUCUCCCUCUCGUUGCUGGUCUCCCUUUUUCUCUCAGCUCCGACAAUCACCGUUCUCACUCCUCCUAUCAUCACGGGGCAGAACCACGGCCUCCACCAUCUUUCUUCUCUUCCGCUCGGCGAACCACCGGCCUUCCUCACAUUUUCUCUCGGUGUUGACCGGCGGUGUAUUCGGAGAAGGUAACGGCGGCGUAUGUGCUGAUGUUGAAGAUGGUUCCUAUCGAGGUGAAUAGGAUGCUUAGUUCCUAUCGAUUUGAUUGGAGUUUUGGAGUUUUAGUUCUUGAGGAUACGAUAAGUUGCUUAUCGUGAUAGUGUAUAACACUCCGUAUUUUCAAACAGUCCUCUACUUCCGGCAACGGCGUCACAAUGGAGUGCGAACCAGCAGCAGCUACUUCAUCCAUGGGAACAAUACUUGAAAGUUGGAGGUGUUGCCAUGGAAUGUGCUUCCCAUCUUCAAGCUCGCUACAGCUACUUCAACACAGACGAUGAUCAUGCGACAUUGUUAAGUUUUAAGAGCAAGAUUCAAGAGCCAUGCACAAGAAUGUGUUCGGAAUUGAGCCAGGCUUUGGAAGCUAUAUCAUUAACCAUGAAAACCAUGUCUCAUCCGACGCCUGCGAUCCUAGACCAACUGUGGAACUCUAGAGCCGCCAUUGAUGAUCUUGAAGUCUUGUUCCGAAGCUCAGCAACGAAGAGCUUCGGAACAGGACUUCGAGAUCAUCAAUGGCGGCUCUGGAGUUCCGCAGGUGGUCUUGGAUUGCCGGCGUCGGAUGUGUAAUGGUUUUCAUGACUAAUGAUAUAGCUUUCAAAGCCUGGCUCGACUCCGAGCACAUUCUUGUGCAUGGCUCUUGAAUCUUGCUCUUAAAACUUAACAAUGUCGCAUGAUCAUCGUCUGUGUUGAAGUAGCUGCAGAGAGCUUGAAGAUGGGAAGCACAUUCCGCAACACCUCCAACUUUCAAGUAUUGCUCCCAUGGAUGACGAAACUUGAACUCGCCAUGACCAAAUUCCCACCAUGCAAAAAGUGCCUGUAUGCGUAUUCAAUACUUGUAUUAAUUAAACUGUUCCAUCCAUUUUUAUAGUUAGGAUUGUUCAUUUUA